AGCAUGGAAGCCACAACUUUAGCCCCAAGCAGAGGAUGUCCCGUAUAGUACCCCAAAAUCCGGAACAGAAAACCAAUCACUAUAGGUGAUAUAAUAGCCAAAGCACCAGGUUUUAUCAUCUCCUUCAAAGAUGCAGAUGCCACAAUUGAAACACAGCGACCAUAGUCUGGUUUCUCCUUGUAGUCCAUGAUACCUGGCCUUUCAAUAAACUGCCUCCUUACUUCGGUAACAACCUCCUGAGCAGUUCGGCCGACUGCGGAGCAGG
rnacentral:misc_RNA from 1 species